ensembl:lncRNA LINC00667 long intergenic non-protein coding RNA 667
GAGCGGGGAGCAAGGCCUGCGGGGAGGCGCAGGAUGGACGCGUUGGCUGUCAUGAUGUAGGACCUCCUGACCUAGAACCAUGCCCGGCGCAGGGAGAACAACGAGCUUACGGACCGGGUGCGGGGGCUGCUGUGCGAGAAAGCCUACCUGCUGGCCCGGGAGCGUUCGCCGGCCCACCUGGUGGCUUUCCCUGGACGUUUAACGGCGACUCCGCCCGGCCUCCCGACUUUUUGAUGCAGGCGUUCUCUUACAUGACUUUCUUCGAGGCUAGAUUCUCGAAAGACAUCCUGAAGGUGGCUUUCUUAAUUAGCUGCCUCACCGGCUGGCGGAGCAGUUCGUAGUCGCCUACAUCGAGAGGGAGAGCCCCGUCCUGGCUCAGUACUGGGGCUUCGUGGACGCGCUGUAGCGGGUCUUCGCCGUCGUGGGUAGGAAACAGUCGGGCCGGAUCCCCGGUGUCUGGGGAGCGGCUGCCGGCCGGGCCCGCGCGAGCCGCUUCACUCCUACAAGCCCGGCUCACUAGUUCCAAGCUGCUGGACUUUGACCCUCGCUGGGAAGCUUGAUCGCCGCCUGUUCUCGCCAAUCUCUAUGCCUUUGCACUGCCCAGCAACCCGGUCACUGCCCAGGACCUGUUAAAAGUUGAAUGGACCUCCCAGAAUCACGCCGCUGCCACCGCCGUUUCUAGAGACGGCUUUUGGCCACCUUUGAGAAUCAGGGUCAAACUUGGAAGGGCCUGCAUUUGUCACACUUCCUCGGACACUAAUUUGGAUAGUUCAGGCCCAGAGACGGCUUCCCGGGUUAGUGUGCCUGACAACACUGAAGAAAAAUUGUGACAUUUUCCUUCCCCAGAAUUACUUCGUUUUAUACAUUUCACUUCUCUUCUGAAAUCACAGCAAUGCCAGUUUGCGCCUUUUGGUCUGAGGAACGCAGGCCCUGGCCACUACCAGGAAAAAAACCUUCUGGAUUUCAGCUUUGGCAAGCUUCCUCUGUUUCUGAGACACCUCCAUCACCUGGGUUACAAUCCCAUCCAUGAUUUUCCCCAUCUCCAGGCAUUUUUCAUGGAAAGCUCCUCAUGCUUUUUAAUUCCAGUUUAUCCAUUUGUGUGGCUUUAACCUCCACAUCCAGAUCCUUUGCACAUGGCCUGCUAUCAACAAUCCUCUACAAUGAUUCUCAGCAUCACCUAGGGAGCUUAUGUAAAAUCUCAAAUUCCUGGGCCCUAUCCCCAGAGUUUCUUAUCAAGUAAGUCUGCAUUGGGAUCUGAGGAUUUGCAUCUCUAACAAAAAUUCCUAGGCGAUGCUCACACUGUUGGUGUAAGGUUUCCUUGAUGGAGAACUAUCAAAGCAGUCAAAGCUAUCAAAAUAAAAAAGAAUUCUGAUUGGGUGCAGUGGCUCACACCUGUCAUUCCAGCACUUUGAGAGGCCAAGGUGGGCAGAUCACAUGAGGCCAGGAGUUCAAGACCAGCCUGGCCAACAUGGCAGAAACCCCAUCUCUACUAAAAAUACCAAAAUUAGCCGGGCAUGGUGGAACACACCUGCAAUCCCAGCUACUCGGGAGGCUGAGGCAAGAGAAUCGCUUGAACCUGGGAGGCAGAAGUUGCAGUGAAACAAGUUGGUGCCAAUGCAUUCCAGCCUGGAUGAUGGAGCGAGACUCUGUCUCAAGAAAAAAAAAACAAAAACAAAAACAGAACUCUGCCUCAUAGCGUCUUUUAAGUUAUACACUGGACCUAUCCUUUCCUCACUGACAGACAUUUUAAAAAUUUUUUGGUAAGGCCUAGUUCAUAUAAAAUGUAAUCCAAGCCAAAAGUUAACAAGAAUAAGGGGAGGAAAGGGGACUCCAAUAGCAGAGAAAGGUAUUUACCUGGGAUAUACACUGCAAGAAAAUCAAAGCUAUAAGAAACGUCCAUGAAUAGUAGCCAUAAGGCAUCAGAGUGAUAAAAUUCCUGUCCCUAGGAGGGAAUAUUGGAGUUUGCCAGAGAAACAGAAUGAGAGAGACAGAGAGGUUUAUUGUAGGAAUUGGCUCAUAUGAUUACGGAGGCUGAGAAGACCCACGAUCUGCCAUCUGCAAGCUGGAGAAUCAGGAAAGCUGGAGGUGUAAUUCAGUCAAGUCCAAUGGCCAGAGAAGCAAGUGUACUGAUAUCCAAGAGCAGGAGAAAAUAGAUGUCCCAGAACAAGCAGAGAGGCUGAUUUUGUCCUUCCUCUGCCUUUUUGUUUCAUAUGGGGCACUGAAUGGACUGAUGCCCAUCCACAUUAGUGAGGGUGGAUCUUCUUUACUCAGUCUACCAGUAGAAAUGUCAAUGACUUCCAGAAACACCCUCACCAACACACGUGGAAAUAAUGUUUUACCAGGUAUCUGGGCAUCCCUUGGUUCACUCAAGUUGACACAAAAUUAACCAUCACAGAAGGAGACUGGCCUUACUCUGAAAUUAGGAAACUAAAGAAGUGACCAGAAUGGAGACUAGGUAGAGACAACUAGUUCUCUACCAAACAUGUACAGUUAUUCGUUGGUAUCUGAAGGGGAUUGGUUCCAGGAACUCUCAGGGAUACCAAAAUCUGCAGGUGCUCAAGUCAUUUAUAUAAAAUAUUACAGUAUUUGCAUAUAACCUUUGCACAUCUUCCAUAUACUUUAAAUCAUCUCUACAUUACUUAUAAUAAUGAAUGUGUAAAUGCUAUGAAAAUAGUUACUACACUAUUGUUUAUUUGUAUUUUUAUUGAAUUGUUUUGGGGUGGGGGGCAGCUGUAUCUUUCUUAGUAAUAGAACCCCUGGUUUUAGCUGGGCACAUGACUGCCCUCAAUAAAGAUUAAAGUACCCCAGC